AUGGCAGGGAGGGACCUGCCGUCGCUUGCUUUCGCUAUUGCACGCUUCCUCCAGAGAGAGAACCGUCGCUUUCCGCGCACCCAUCGCCACCGUGCUGCAAGUCGCCGUCGCCGUCAGGGACUUGGCGCAAGGAGUGGCCCUCGCCGCCGCUUUUUCGCCUGGAACAACCGCCAGAACCGCCGCCGUGGGUACGCACGCCAAGGCAACCGCCCGCUCCGUGGGCGAGCACCAACGGUGCACCAGGCUGGACCCUCGGCUCCGGCCACCGCUGCAAACCAUGCUGGGCCUUCGGCUCCGGCUCGGGCCGUCGCCGACGACUACAUCGUACCGACGACUCCGCCGCCAUCUGUCUUCACCAUCCCUCCUAUGGAUUGGCUCCUUGGAGGUCCAUCGGCGCCAUUCCUCGGAGAAGAAGAGAUGUUCCCUUGCGAACUCGCGCCGCCGCCUAUGCCCCCGUACUGUGUGCGACACGGGUUUGAAUCGUGCCCAGCGCGUACGGGCGCACCACCGCGGAAGCCGUCUCCGACACCAUCAGAUGAACUGCCGGAGCACUUCAUGCCUCCUGGAUACGGCCCCGUCCCGGAUCUCCCAUCCCCGACGCCGGCGGCAGCGGGAACCGGCGGCUACCCCUCCAUCCCCGACUUGAACAUCAAAAUCAAGGUUGAAGAAGAGGAGAUAGAGGACCAGGGCUCGUCGUCGACGCCACCACCUUCAUCACCGGCGACACCACCUCCUCCUCAGGCACCGCCUCUUCCUCCGACGCCUCCGCCGGAAGCCCGCCGGAUCCUGCGCCAGUUCGCCGCGGCCAUGGCGCAGAACCGUGCAGCCCUUCAUGGCGCGUGGUCGCCAGAUGCCCUUGGCCUCACCGGCGCCCCUGGGGCGAGCAGCAGCGGAGCAGGCCGUGCUGCGAAGCGGGGCCCACCUCGCUUCCAUUGA
rnacentral:rRNA from 1 species